ACUAUUCUGCUGAAGGGAAGAGGGAUGAAUAAAUCUUCCCAACACUCUGCUAGGGGAAGAAGCCACAAAAGGCUCAGGAGGAAGAGUACACCAACAUGCCAGGAAUAUGAAUAACUGCCUUACCCUGUCAAGAAUCUUACCAUCUUUGGGAGAGCACUGAAGACAUCCCCAGUAUCCCUUUCAUCAUUGUGAAUGUUCACUUUGUUUAAAAA
rnacentral:lncRNA from 1 species